GAUGAACGCUGGCGGCGUGCUUAACACAUGCAAGUCGAACGAGAAGUGAAGACGGAAACCUUCGGGCGGAAGGCUUUAUUUCGAGUGGCGGACGGGUGAGUAACGCGUGGGUAACCUGCCUCAUACAGGGGGAUAACAGUUGGAAACGACUGUUAAUGCCGCAUAAGACCACAGCACCGCAUGGUGCGGGGGUAAAAACUCCGGUGGUAUGAGAUGGACCCGCGUUCGAUUAGCCAGUUGGCGGGGUAACGGCCCACCAAAGCGACGAUCGAUAGCCGAUCUGAGAGGAUGACCGGCCACAUUGGGACUGAGACACGGCCCAAACUCCUACGGGAGGCAGCAGUGGGGAAUAUUGCACAAUGGGGGAAACCCUGAUGCAGCGACGCCGCGUGAGUGAAGAAGUAUUUCGGUAUGUAAAGCUCUAUCAGCAGGGAAGAAAAUGACGGUACCUGAGUAAGAAGCCCCGGCUAACUACGUG
rnacentral:rRNA from 1 species